rnacentral:rRNA from 1 species
AUACGGAGGAUCCGAGCGUUAUCCGGAUUUAUUGGGUUUAAAGGGUGCGUAGGUGGUUUGAUAAGUCAGCGGUGAAAGUUUGCAGCUUAACUGUAAAAAUGCCGUUGAAACUGUCGGACUUGAGUGUAAAUGAGGUAGGCGGAAUGCGUGGUGUAGCGGUGAAAUGCAUAGAUAUCACGCAGAACUCCGAUUGCGAAGGCAGCUUACUAAGCUUCAACUGACACUGAAGCACGAAAGCGUGGGGAUCAAACAGGAUUAGAUACCCUGGUAGUCCACGCAGUAAACGAUGAUUACUAGCUGUUUGCGAUACACAGUAAGCGGCACAGCGAAAGCGUUAAGUAAUCCACCUGGGGAGUACGCCGGCAACGGUGAAACUCAAAGGAAUUGGCGGGG